CCUCUUCUUCUUCUUCUUCCUCCUGCUGCCCAGUUUGUUUACAUCCACGGGCUCGUGACAAGUGCUCAUAUUUUCCCUUAUUUCAGGCCUACGGAAGGGAUUUAGUCCUACCCGGGUUUACCUACGGGUGUAUAAAGGCCUACUCUACUCAUAUCUUGUCCAGUGUGUGAUGGUCUGGCCCAGAGGAAGGAACACCAGCACAGACGUGACCAACCAGGGAACUCUGAGUCAAACCAUCAAGACAUCAAACUAGACAAUCAGACACCUGAACCACACCCACCUAGACCACACCAGACCACCAGGCCAGCCCAUAUUAGACCCCAGCAGCAGACCCCCCCCGCCAAGCCAAGCCAUGAUGGUAAACGUCCAAGAGAUCUGUGAGAACAUGAAGGUUGCCCGGGAGAUGGUGCUGACCUCCCAGUACGAGACGGCCGGCGUGUACUACCAGGGCGUGGUGCAGCAGAUACACCGCCUGCUGCAGACCAUACAGGAGCCCAACAGGAAGAUUAAGUGGCAGCAGGUCCAGCAGCAGGUGGCGGCCGAGUACGAAAGCCUGAAGGAACUCACCAACACCAUCACCAUCUUCAAGGCGGACACGACCUCUGCGCCAGCUGCCUUUGCGGACCGACCCAUAGGCACCUCCCUGCGACCCUCUUCCUUUGAGGAGCCCACCCGGGACCCUGAUGUAUGGGCUCCCCCGCCCCCCCGCGACCCUGACGUAUGGCCACCCCCCACCCCCGCCGACCACAGGUCAAGUCAGGUCAAGCCAACCCGGGGACCACGGCGACCUGAGGGGAGCAAGGGGGGGGCAUCCAGCACCAAGGGGGGCGGGGGGAAGGGGGGGGCCAGGAAGGGGGCCGACUCCAAGGGGAAGAAAGAGGAGAAGGGAGGAAAGGGGAGGAGGGAGGCAAAGGAGGACAAGGGUGACGCGGGCAACCCCAACGACAACUCACCCCCCAAUGAUGAUGACGAGAGGAAGUUUGACCCCACCGGGUAUGACCGUGACCUGGUAGAUAUUCUGGAGCGGGACAUUGUGCAGAAGAACCCAAGCAUCAGGUGGAGCGACAUUGCUGACCUACAGGAGGCCAAGAGGCUGCUGGAGGAGGCUGUGGUGCUGCCCAUGUUGAUGCCAGACUACUUCAAGGGCAUCCGGCGGCCAUGGAAGGGCGUGCUGAUGGUAGGCCCGCCCGGCACUGGGAAGACCAUGCUGGCGAAGGCUGUGGCGACCGAGUGCCAGACAACCUUCUUCAAUGUGUCAUCCUCAACCUUGACCUCCAAGUAUAGGGGGGAAUCAGAGAAGCUGGUCCGGCUGUUGUUUGAAAUGGCCAGGUUCUACGCCCCCAGCACCAUCUUUGUGGACGAGAUUGACUCCUUGUGUUCGCGCCGAGGGUCAGAGAGUGAACAUGAAGCCUCCCGCCGCGUCAAGAGUGAACUGCUUAUGCAAAUGGACGGGAUACAGGCUUCAGAUUCUGAGGAGCCCAAAGUAGUCAUGGUUUUGGCUGCGACCAACUUCCCCUGGGACAUUGAUGAGGCCCUUAGAAGAAGGCUCGAGAAACGCAUAUAUAUACCCCUGCCCAAUGAGGAGGGCAGGGAGGCACUUCUCAACAUCAACCUGAGGGAGGUCAAGCUGGAUUCCGACAUCAACCUCAACCAAAUUGCAACCAUGCUAUCGGGUUACUCCGGAGCGGAUAUCACCAAUGUCUGCAGGGACGCCUCUAUGAUGUCCAUGCGUCGUAAGAUCGCCGGGCUCACCCCAGACCAGAUCCGCGCGCUGCCCAAGGAGGAGCUGGACCUGCCGGUGACCCAGGAGGACUUCAUGGCAGCCGUGGCAAAGUGCAACAAGUCUGUGAGCCAACACGACCUGGAUAAGUACGAGACCUGGAUGAGGGAGUUCGGGUCAACCUAGAUGGUGUUACAGGUCGAUAGUGUGUCUGUGUUUGUGUUAUUGAUGUGUACAGUGACCUGGAUGAGGGAGUUCGGGUAAACCUAAGUGGUGUUACAGGUCGAUAGUGUGUCUGUGUUUGUGUUAUUGAUGUGUACAGUGACCUGGAUGAGGGAGUUCGGGUAAACCUAGGUGGUGUUACAGGUCGAUAGUGUGUCUGUGUUUGUGUUAUUGAUGUGUACAGUGACCUGGAUGAGGGAGUUCGGGUAAACCUAGGUGGUGUUACAGGUCGAUAGUGUGUCUGUGUUUAUGUUAUUGAUGUGUUCAGCAAACCCUGGCCUAACAAACUCAUUGGGGAACAAGAGUGAUGAUGUAUUAGAUUAGGUUCAAGGGGGAUUAGAAGGGGGAUUGGAAAGGGGAUUAGAUUAGAUUAUUUUAAGGGGGAUUAGAUUAUGUUAAGAGUGAUUAGAUUAGGUUAGGUUAAGUUAGGUCAUUGGGUCUCUCUCUCUCUCUCUCUCUAAUCUUCCUUCCUUCCUCCUCCUCCUCCUCCUUCUUCUUCCUCCUCCUCUUCCUCCACACACAUUGUUUCCUGUAGACCAAAGCUUUGGGUGUGUAAUGAACUUUUUCCGUACAUAACAAACUUAGUUAAUUACGCGUACAUAAUGGAAAGACAAAGCAGUAUAUCUCUGGGUUGUAUUAAAAGACACUUCGCCACUCAAGAACACGUAUUUGACAAGGCUUUCAUAGGAGUUGUGGGCAUUUCCAGGGGUAGUUUUAUGACCCUGGUGGUAGUGUGACCCUGAAGAAACACCUAU